rnacentral:rRNA from 1 species
UACGUAGGGGGCAAGCGUUGUCCGGAUUUAUUGGGCGUAAAGAGCGUGUAGGCGGCCUGACAGGUCUGCUGUGAAAACUCGAGGCUCAACCUCGAGAUGUCGGCGGAAACCGUCUGGCUAGAGUCCGGAAGAGGAGAGUGGAAUUCCUGGUGUAGCGGUGAAAUGCGCAGAUAUCAGGAAGAACACCUGUGGCGAAGGCAGCUCUCUGGGACGGUACUGACGCUGAGACGCGAAAGCAUGGGGAGCGAACAGG